CAGUUCCAGGGACCAGAUGUCCUUUUCCAGUUUCUAUGGGCACCAGGUACACACAUGGCACACACACACAUACAGGCCAGAUACUCCUGCACGUCAAAUAAAAUAAUUAAAGCGGUGCUUACUAUGUGUCCUUGACUCUGCCCAGCCUUUCGUUUCUUCCUUUUAUAGCCAAGAUAAAAAGCCUUAGAUUGCUAUGCUAAUUUAUCCGUUAUAUGACUGGAAAUGUUUUCCACUGGUAUAAUCAUCUAGUUUCUGUUUUCAUUCCCUCUACAGGACUGAAAGAUCUCAUUUGAUCAGGAUUCAGUACUACGUGUAUAUUCUAACCUGCUUUACCUGAUCUACAGAAUUAGAUUCAAAGUACGUCAGAUAGCACCAUCCUUUUUUGGUGAACAGCUUUGGGACUGGAUCUCCGGGUUGUAUGUGCUGUAAGUUUUGUUGAGGCCAGUCGUCCUCCCCUUCUCCACCCCCAGCAUAGUUGUAGCCAUUUUGUUCUAUGCCUGCCAGCUGCUUGCCAGUCAUUGACGAAGAAAAGUAGCUUGAGUCAGCAGGGUCACGUUGACCACGUUUCCUGCUAUGUUCUGUAUGUCCUGAGGGUUGUUAUUCUUAAGAGGUUUGACAACCAUAAGCUCAAUUUAGGACCAAUCAGAAUAAAGCUCCUGGAGGCUGGAGAGAUGGUUCAAGCGGUUAAGAGC
rnacentral:lncRNA from 1 species